rnacentral:tRNA from 1 species
GCGCCCGUAGCUCAGCGGAUAGAGUGUCUGGCUUCGAACCAGAAGGUCGGGAGUUCGAAUCUCUCCGGGCGUACCA